rnacentral:rRNA from 1 species
GAAAGCCUUGCUUUUUCUAGGCGUCGACCGGCGCACGGGUGAGUAACGCGUAUCCAACCUGCCCAUCACUGGGGAUAACCUUGCGAAAGUAAGACUAAUACCCAAUGACGUCUCUAGAAGACAUCUGAAGGAGAUUAAAGAUUUAUCGGUGAUGGAUGGGGAUGCGUCUGAUUAGCUUGUUGGCGGGGUAACGGCCCACCAAGGCGACGAUCAGUAGGGGUUCUGAGAGGAAGGCCCCCCACAUUGGAACUGAGACACGGUCCAAACUCCUACGGGAGGCAGCAGUGAGGAAUAUUGGUCAAUGGACGAGAGUCUGAACCAGCCAAGUAGCGUGCAGGAUGACGGCCCUAUGGGUUGUAAACUGCUUUUAUAAGGGAAUAAAGUGAGUCUCGUGAGACUUUUUGCAUGUACCUUAUGAAUAAGGACCGGCUAAUUCCGUG